rnacentral:ncRNA from 1 species
UUAUCACGGUACUACUAAAUGUAGUUUAAAAGGGAAGUUUGGUGCAAAUCCAACGCUGUCCCCGCAACUGUAAAUGCUGACUGAAGACUAAAAUUGCCACUGUGCCACGUGCAUGGGAAGGUAUGUCUGACGGAUGAUGCAAAGCCAGGAGACCUGCCGUGUUAAA